GAGUUUUACCUUUUUAUUUUCUUUUCCCACUGUGGGGAGGAGUGAGCAAAUGGCUGAGUGAUUGUUUUAGCUGCCUGCCAGGUUAAAUUGCAAUACCUGGCCAGCUAGAACACACAAAAAUAAAUAUAUACCUCUGCCUUUUUUUUUUUUUUUUAAUCAAUCAUAGACCCAUGAAAUAAUUCAUGGUGGCAGGGAUCUCUGGAGUCUGUCUAGUCCAACUUCCUACUCAAAGCAGGAGCAACUGCAUCAGGCUGCUGUUGGGAUACAAGGGACAAAGUGUUCAGUCGGAGUAUUGACAUACCGUUCAACACCUAAAGUACACGCACAAGUGUGAGCAUUAAAACAAUAAUAAUACAUGAUCUAGGUCCAAAGGCUAUUGAAGGUCAGUAAAAUUAUUUCUGUUCUACUAAAACAGAGCAAAGGCACAGACAUUUGUGCACAUCUGAUCAUAUGGUCUGAGCUUUUAGCAUUUUUGACCAGUUCACUUAUCUGAGAUUCCAAUUUUUAAAUGAGUCCCAUUUCUGUCCAAGCAGACAGCUUGUCCUUGAGGAAGGAAGGAGGAAGAAAAUGUAGCAGCAGCAAUCAAAUAUUUUACCAGUUCCUGAGUGCCAAGAAAAAGGAGGGGGCAGCAAGGCCUAUAUUGUCUUCUUACUCUACAAGUAAAAUGUUCUUACUCUCAAGAAUUUCCAUGCUGGUACACUCACAGUGAAUCAUAAUUCAUAUCAUGAAGUAUCAGCAAAGACACUAGUGGAAUAGAAUAUGCUAGUUGUUGUGAAAAAAGAAUGUCAUAAAUUGGCACAACAAAUGAGUAUUUCACAUAAACUUUCUUGUAAAUCUGAAAUCAUACCACUGAUGGCAUUUGUUUUACCUUCUCCAUCUACAGCUCUCACACAGUUGUCUCUGACUGCAAAAUCAUGCUUAUGAUUUAGAUAUAUGUCAGCUUCUCUGUUGCUGUGGUAACAUCCAUCCCCUCCUAAGUUCUACAGAUUCUAUCAAAACAUGAAUUCUCAUUUUUUGAGUCUUUUUGUCUUUAAAGCCACAGGGGUGCUGGUACUUUAUUAUAUAUUCUAUUUAUGUAUAGUGUUUCCAGCUUCUUUCCAGCAUGUCAGUUUAUGAGGAAAUUGUUUCCCGCAUUUUCCAUGGAAACCCUUUUUAAAGUGAGCAUUACAAUCUUUUCGCUUCACUUACGCAAUGCUGAUGUUGUUUCCUAUUACACAGAGAUAACUGGCUAUACUAAUCUUGGGAUAUUGAAUAGCAAUGGUCCAAAGCACUGUUUAUUCAAGUGGAAUGUCUACAGUUUCUAUGUGUAAUUUCUGUUUUCAUUCCUACUCAAAAUCAGUGCUUUUAUUUAUUUACCCAUGCAAACCUUUACCAUGCACAUUUUUGUCUGAGGCAAAAGUCACUGGGGAGUUGUGAGCACUUUUCAUGGGUGUGUGAGCUAUUCUGUCUGAUAACAUGACGACAGAUGUGUCAGAGACACGACAGAUGAUUUUAAUAGCUAUAUUUUGCAAAGUCUGGAGACCAGUGAUAUGGAUGUCACAGAUGAAGAGGAUAGUAUAACCAUAGUGACUGAUUUGUUCCAAAUACAGCAGAAAUGGAGCGAGGGUGCUGACGGUGUCCAUCGGGGCAGGACCCACGCAGAGCCGAGCUGCCGCCAGCGUGCUCAGCCUUCCCGGACGCGAAGGCUCCGAGGAGUGUGAGACAGCCAGCAAACUGUCUUGGGAUUUGUGGACAUUUAGGAUCUUUGAAGAAUUGUUCAUCCUAAAUAAGGAAUUAGAACUCUAAUUUAAGUUCAGAAAUUGGAUGUUGAAAAUCAUGAACAAAGAACAGACUUGCAUGGGAAGUUAGCUACCACCAGUUUAAUAUUAGUCUACCAGGUGAACAAAAGUCUUAAUCUGAAGUUUCAAUCUGGGCUUUUAUCUUCCCAUGGUUUCUUUCCAAUGAAAUUGCAUCCUUGUCCUUUCUGUGGCCCUCAGAUCAGUCUCUGCAACUUCUAAGUGGCAGAUAAAGGAAAUCCUUAUUGCUUCAAACAGCUCUUCCUAUUCGCAAGGACCUACAACGUGGUUUCCUAAAACACAAGAUGACAAGGCCACUCACCUAUGAAAUGCCACUGGAGGUGGUUUCACAACUGGAAUUAUGAAGCCCGGUUCCAACUAACCGUUGCCUGUGCCUCAGGGGUGUCAGCAGAGCCCUUCCCCAAAGCACAGGCAUGAAGUUCAAACGAAGAGCAAUGACCUAUGCGAUGUGGAUUCUAUUCAAAAUUGAGAAGGAUAAAUAUAGUUUUUAACCAGGAUUUUAAGCUAAAGUGUUCAAACUGAAAAGGCCAAAUAUGAGGAGGUGCUAGUCUUAUGUAAUGUAAAAGCUGAAUCACUUCUUUAAUAGCUAUAGCAGUUAAAUGAACAAAUUCAGUUACAUUAAAUUAUAUUUUCUUACCUGUUUUCUUGAUGGUAUGUACUAUUACGAACUUCAGUUAUAUUGCUAUUAAAUGGGGAUAUUUUUCACUGUUCAGGUAUGAGUGUUUAAAUGGUGCUAAAUUUCCAGGUAUGUAGAUGUGCUAAUUAAAAAUUUAAAAAGUUUUUAUUCUAAUGGGAAUAAAUUCUGAAUCAAUUCACAGUUCAAGUUCUGAAAUAGUUUGUAAAGUUUUGCGUGAUUCUUGAGUACUUCCAGGCACUUGAAAAAAACAUGGUGCAGAAAAGUCCAUAGUGUACUGUUUCUGAAACUCACAAGUUAACCUCAGCGUUGUUAAUUUAGUAAUAAAUUUUUGUAAGAACUGCAGUUCAUUUGACAGUAUAGUUUUCAACUUUAUAGACAACCCAGAUAUUAAAAUUCAAAUAGCUUCUGGUUUUAUGGAAAAUGGCAGAAAAAUAAGGGGUUUUUUUAAUCAGUAACUUUUGACUUCAAGUCGAGAUUGGUAGGCCUUAAUAUUGUUGAAAGGCAGAGUAUUUCAUGUCAGUCAUAGGUUAAAAUUGCUCGUAAGAUGAUAAACAGUCUGGUUUUGCAAUGGACAUUUCAGUUCACUGGAUGCAAAGGCAACUAAAGGAACCCCCAAUAUGCUCACUGUCCUACACAUCUGCUGUCCUCUGUGGCCACCCCAAGGCUGUAGUACCCGUCAAGGUCAGCUGGAAGAUUCAUCUUUUCUGAGCAUCUCUGCCUGGUGCUCUGUGCUCUAGAGCAAGGACCCAAGUAUCAGUUGAUCUCACAACUACCUGGAGUACAUGAAAGUUUACUUAUAAUUCAGGACUUCUUAUUUCAAGACCAAGCACCUUAAUUGUGGAUAUGUCUAUUUAUUUCCAUUUUCUUGCCUACUCUUUUUUCUUUUUUACUUUUUUUUUUCCUGUUUCUAAAUACUGGACAAUGUUCAUUUCAAGUAUUGGGUUGCAUCUUUUUGUUUGUAUGUACUAGAGCUUUUUUUUCAAACUCUCUAUUUAUUUUAAAACUAAUUGCACAUUUCAUUUAAAGCCUAGAUUCUUCCUUAGAAAUUGGGGUUUUUUUCAAACAACUUCUUUGUUUCUGUUGCUGGAUAAGAAGGAAAAACUGACAUUUUCUUUUGUAACAGCACUAGGUCGUAGUAUAGUAAAACUUGAAGAGCACUGCCAAGUCUUCCAGCUGCACUUUCCCCCUUUAGUUGUACUGAUAGGCUUUUCCGCUCCUUCCCAUGUCUCAGAUAACUAGUGAUGUUUCUGAAUGCUUCUUUUAUCAGCAGGGAUAAUCUUUGUACAUCAGCUUUGCAGCUUUCCAUUUAGUCCAAGACAUGUUUGCCUCAAAUAUAAACAAACACAAAUUUUGUAAUACACUUUGUCCACACCAGCUGACAUAGCUUUUUGGAUAGGUAUGAUACCACUGCAGACCAGCACUGUUAGUACCAGAGCUUUUCUUCAUCUUUUUUUGACUCCACCUCCUGAUAUUUUAGUUGAUGUUCAAUAUUUGUGCUGCCACUUUCGAAGUCCUCAUAAUACAAGGGCAUAUCUCAGAUUCUUGCACAAUUUGUCUAAUAUGCCUUAUCCACAAGGGAAAAAUAGCUUUAUACUGCUCAAGAGCAGCCUGUGGGAGACGUUUCAGCUGCUGGUGACUCACCAGCUCAUGAUCAGCUCUGCAGCUCUGAUGGUGCUGAGGCUGUUGGGGGGGUCAGAUAUGGAGUGAGGGGAGGAAGCCCAAUGGUGCUGGUGACCCUGCCCUGGUUAGGAGUGGGCUGCCUGUCCAGCAGCAUGGUGGGAUCCCUGGGACAUCCCUGCUGCCACCUGCUCACUGUGCUCACCCACAAAGCUCCUGACGUGAGAUGGGCUUCAUGAUCUCUGCCAUAGGAGGCUCUUGGAAGGGCUGCUCGGGGUGUCCCAGACACCACUAUCAAAGCUAAGAGAGAAUCUCCAUUGAAGAAGUUCAGGCUAAUGCUCCUGUUAUCUAGGAGCCAGAAGCCAGGUUUUCCAGAAAUCUUCCAGUGUUUUUACCUUAGUAAAGUCCAAAAGUUGCCAGUUUCAAUUUUAAGUGCAAAGCAAAUAUCCACUAAGAACAGUGAAUGUUUCUUUAUUAAGACUAGGCUGUUUGCAAUUAUAAGAAAGUAAAUACUGAUUUUACGAAACACACACUGCUUAUUUCCACCUGCGUCUGAUUCAGCUAUGUGCCAAAAACCUGGGUUUCAGCACCUACAUGUGUCCAGGAUGUUUUUCAGAAGGCAAAUGAAAAUUAAUUUUAAAUAUAUCAUAAAAACAACAGGUGUUUGGGAUUUUUUUUUUUUUCAUUUAUGUCCAUGACACUACUGCAGGAUAAAUAAAAAGAGAUUGGUGAGAAAAUUGUAUGGACAGCAAUCAGGGGAAAAAAAGGCAAAGUUUUUAUGAAUUUU